UACGUAGGGUGCGAGCGUUGUCCGGAAUUACUGGGCGUAAAGGGCGCGUAGGUGGCCCGGUCAGUCGAUGGUGAAAGCGCGGGGCUCAACUCCGCGUCGGCCGUCGAUACUGCUGGGCUUGAGCACUGUAGAGGCAGGCGGAAUUCCGGGUGUAGCGGUGGAAUGCGUAGAGAUCCGGAAGAACACCGGUGGCGAAGGCGGCCUGCUGGG
rnacentral:rRNA from 1 species